CCCGGAAGUCGUUGCCUGGCGGCCUCACGCCGGUGUGCUGUGUAGACGGCACCCGGAGCGCUGUGCCAUGGCGGCCCGGGGGCCAGGGGGCGGGGCCAGGGUCCGGCCGCUCUACUCGUGCGAGCACUGGGAGAUCGUGAAGCCGUCCGUCAGCGAGCUGUCCAGGGAGGUCCGCACCAACAUCCUGUGCACCGUGAGAGGAUGCGGCAAGGUCCUCCCCAACCCACCGGCUCUCAACAUGCACCUCGUCAAAUCACACGGAGUACAGG